rnacentral:rRNA from 1 species
AUUGAACGCUGGCGGCAGGCCUAACACAUGCAAGUCGAACGAGUGGCGGACGGGUGAGUAAUGUCUGGGAAACUGCCCGAUGGAGGGGGAUAACUACUGGAAACGGUAGCUAAUACCGCAUACCAUCGGAUGUGCCCAGAUGGGAUUAGCUAGUAGGUGGGGUAACGGCUCACCUAGGCGACGAUCCCUAGCUGGUCUGAGAGGAUGACCAGCCACACUGGAACUGAGACACGGGCCAGACUCCUACGGGAGGCAGCAGUGGGGAAUAUUGCACAAUGGGCGCAAGCCUGAUGCAGCCAUGCCGCGUGUAUGAAGAAGGCCUUCGGGUUGUAAAGCACUUUCAGCGAGGAGGCGUUACUCGCAGAAGAAGCACCGGCUAACUCCGUGCCAGCAGCCGCGGUAAUAC